CGUGGAGACAGGUGGUGCAUGGCUGUCGUCAGCUCGUGUCGUGAGAUGUUGGGUUAAGUCCCGCAACGAGCGCAACCCUCACCCCUUGUUGCCAACAGGUCACGCUGGGCACUCUAGGGGAACUGCCCCGGUCAACGGGGAGGAAGGCGGGGAUGACGUCAAGUCAUCAUGCCCCUUACGUCCUGGGCUACACACGUGCUACAAUGGCCGGUACAAAGGGACGCAAGACCACGAGGUGGAGCUAAACCCAAAAAGCCGGUCUAAGUUCAGAUUGGAGUCUGCAACUCGACUCCAUGAAGGAGGAAUCGCAGGUAAUCGCGCAUCAGCACGGCGCGGUGAAUACGUUCCCGGGCCUUGUACACACCGCCCGUCACACCACGAAAGCCAGCUGUACUCGAAGUCGCUGAG
rnacentral:rRNA from 1 species